AGGCCUGUCCUCUUUAUAUUUAGUCAUUGUGACAGAUACAUUAAAAGUGAAAAACAAAAGAAUGGAAGGGUAGGUAAUAAGUAUCAGUAAAAGUAAAUAAAAUGAACCAUAGUGAAGUGAUACCUGACUUGAAAUAACGAAUCCAGGGCAGGUUGAGAGUCUGGGUAACGAACAACCGAAAUGAGGCAAACUCCGCUGCUAUCCCCGAAGUACCAGUUGAAGAAUUUGAAGCCUUCUGCAGGUCGCAUUCAAAAGAGGCCAUUCUCGUUUGGAAUUCUUGCUUCAGUUCUUCAAUAGUCGACCUCAAUCCAGAUUCCAUUGUGAUGUGAUGGUGUAAUGAGUGAAGUGUAGCAAGUUAAGGAUAAUGUAGGAGAAAUACACACUAAACCCGGCAGGUAGACAGUUUAGUCAAUAGUAGUAGACAUAAAAUACUGAAAAAUACUGUCUUUUACUAAUUUAUAUACUACUAUUUAUAUACUAUUUAAAUUAAAAGUAGAGCAAAACCAAA